rnacentral:rRNA from 1 species
UACGAAGGGGGCUAGCGUUGUUCGGAAUUACUGGGCGUAAAGCGCACGUAGGCGGAUAUUUAAGUCAGGGGUGAAAUCCCGCAGCUCAACUGCGGAACUGCCUUUGAUACUGGGUAUCUUGAGUAUGGAAGAGGUAAGUGGAAUUCCGAGUGUAGAGGUGAAAUUCGUAGAUAUCGGGAGGAACACCAGUGGCGAAGGCGGCGAUCUGGGAAGAUACUGACGCUGAGGUGCGAAAGCGUGGGGAGCAAACAGG